rnacentral:rRNA from 1 species
UGGGAACGCGAAGAACCUUACCUAGACUUGACAUCCCCUGAAUUACCUGUAAUGAGGGAAGUCCCUUCGGGGACGAGGGAGACAGGUGGUGCAUGGUUGUCGUCAGCUCGUGUCGUGAGAUGUUGGGUUAAGUCCCGCAACGAGCGCAACCCUUAUCCUUAGUUGCUACCAUUAAGUUGAGCACUCUAAAGAGACUGCCCGGGUUAACCGGGAGGAAGGUGGGGAUGACGUCAAAUCAUCAUGCCCCUUAUGUCUAGGGCCACACACGUGCUACAAUGGUGAGUACAACGAGAUGCGAACCCGCGAGGGGGAGCUAAACUCAAAAACUCAUCUCAGUUCGGAUUGCAGGCUGCAACUCGCCUGCAUGAAGCUGGAGUUGCUAGUAAUCGCGAAUCAGAAUGUCGCGGUGAAUACGUUCCCGGGUCUUGUACACACCG